CUUUAGACUGUCUCUGUUCGAACAUUACUAGUUACAUAUGAUAGAGGAACUACAGAACAUGUAGGUCUUGCUUGAUUUUUCUUUAAUUUAAGUCUUUGUAAUAAAUAGUAGAUAAAAUAAUGUUUUAUUAAAAUAAUUUCAUUAAAGUAAAAAAUAAAUGUACAUAUCAAAAUCGAAAUAAUUACAAAAAAACAAUAUAAUAUAAUUUAUAUUAUAAUUUAAUUAAUCAUAGAAUAAAAGAGUGACAUUACUGUGUGAAUAUGGCUAUUGCAAAUAUAUCUGAUAUUUCAGAUAAAUAUUGGCAUCCAUCAUUUGUAGCAUUUAAGAUAAUCAUGGAUAAAAUAGUGAUUGAACUAUAUUGGAAGCAUGUACCUAUUAUAUGAGGAAGAAAUUUUUUCUGAACAAUGUGGAAAUAAUAUUUCAUAAAAUUCUUUUAAAUUUUAUGCUAUAAUAUGCUAUAAGAAAAAUAUCUUUCAGAAAUGGAAUAUAUUAAAUCGUCUAAUCAGAAAGUAAGAAUGAUCUAAUGAUAAAGGAAUGAUAGGAAAAGAAGUUGGCCUAUAAAAUGAUUGACCAGUGAACUUGCGUAUAGAUGGAUUCUCUUUAUGUAAAUGCGUAUUAUAAUAAUAAUAUCUUUUUCAUAUGGAAAACGCUUCAUUUGUUUAUAAUAUUUACAAAAUAAAAGUUUGCGUUCUAUUUUUUCUAGUAUUAAUUCUUAAAUUAAUAUAAUAUUCACUUUGAAUUUUCGGAAAUGUAAUAUCCUAUUGAAAAUAAAUCUUUAGCGAAUGCAAAUUUUUGCACUUGCAAAUAUUAUACAUAGUUACAUUAGUUCUCCAAAAUAUGAUACUAUUUGAUUGAUGGGAACAAAGAUAUUUAUAUUAAACAAAUAUUUUUUAAAUUCAUCAAAUAUUAUCAUUAAUUAAUCAUAUUGAGGCUCAUCUCUAACGUUAUUAUGAACGUUGGUAAUAUCAUUUUCUUAUUCUACAUUAUUAUCAACUAUCAUAUAGAUUCAAGUUUUUAUAUGGGCAUUCAGAUGAUUUAUAUAUAUGUGACGCUAUUAUUAUUAUAAUUAAUAUGAGUUCUUGGACAAAGAUACUAUUGUUUUUAUCAUUAAGAAUAUGUGACAUUAAUUCCAAUAUCACUGUUAAAUUCAAUUGAAUGUUUUAUUGAAUGAAAUCUUUUAAUAAUCAAUGAUAAUCAGUGUUUUUGCAAAGCAUGGAAGUAAUUUGACGAAAAGAUUUUUUUUUAUGAAGAAUUAUAAGAACUUUGAAUUUCAAACUGUUGCUAAGAAAUGUAUUCUCAAUCAUGAUCUAUUGUAGAAUUAUGCAAAACAUUAUUAAAAAAAUUUAUUACUUUCUUUGAGUAAGCUUUACGAGAAAUUUAAUACUAUUUGAGAUUUUGAUUCGAUAGUUAGUGUUUUCGAAUCGAUAGUUGAUUCACAAGAAAUUUAAGAAGGAACAAUGAAAAAGAGGAAUGGAUCUCAAAUAUAAAAUUUUAACUUUGGAUAUUUUUUUGAAAAAUUAUAUUCAAUAUCUAUAUGUAUUUAUGAUAGAAUUGUGCGUCGAUGUGUGAUAGCUAUUUAUCUUUUAUUUUAUUAUUAUAUAAAAGAUCAUGAUGGUUAGCGCUACAUGCAUAUAAAAUAGCAAAAUAUUUAUAUAAUUUUAAUUAAUUACAUCCCAUUUAAUUUCCAAAAUUCUCGAUGUUUCGAAUUCUGUAUAUUUUUAUACAUGUUGCAUUAUAAUAUGUUUAUUAAUAAUCAAUGAAAAUAUUUAUUGUAUUACUUUUUAUAAUAUUUUGUCUGAUAUAUUCUUAGACUCAAUUCUUUUUUGGAAAUAUUAUAAAAUAUCUUCCA